rnacentral:rRNA from 1 species
GACGAACGCUGGCGGCGUGCUUAACACAUGCAAGUCGAGCGGUAAGGCCCUUUCGGGGGUACGACGAGCGGCGAACGGGUGAGUAACACGUGGGUGACCUGCCUUUAGCUCUGGGAUAAGCCUGGGAAACCGGGUCUAAUACCGGAUAUGACUCCGCGGCGCAUGUUGUGGGGUGGAAAGCCUUGUGCGGCUGGAGAUGGGCCCGCGGCUAUCAGCUUGUUGGUGGGGUGAUGGCCUACCAAGGCGACGACGGGUAGCCGGCCUGAGAGGGCGACCGGCCACACUGGGAC